GACGUACUGUGCAAACGUUGUUCGGAAUCACUGGGCUUAAAGGGCUCGUAGGCGGCUAAUCACGUCCGUUGUGAAAUCCGGCAGCUUAACUGUCGAAGUGCCUUUGAUACUGGUUUGCUCGAGGAAGGUAGGGGUGUGUGGAACUUCUGGUGGAGCGGUGAAAUGCGUUGAUAUCAGAAGGAACGCCGGUGGCGAAAGCGACGCACUGGACCUUUUCUGACGCUGAGGCGCGAAAGCUAGGGGAGCAAACGGG
rnacentral:rRNA from 1 species